CACUAUUUAUAGAACGUGUCAUGCGUGGUUGUUCAUAUACCUUUAAGAAAAAUUAAGGGAUAAUGCCUUCGGGAUUCCAAGAUUCUAAAGUUAUGAGCUACGACAUGAAAGCAUAAUCUUUUCAUACACAAUUCCAUCCAUUAGAUGGCCCCAUGGGGCCUCCAAGACUGAACUAGAGCACCUAAACAAUUGCUGCAUUCAGAUGAGUUUCUUCUCAACUUCGAGUAUCUCCUUUACUUAUAAUGAGUUUAUGUAAAUAAAAAUAAGAGUUUGAUUAGAGAAAAAAAUCCACUCUAAUCACUUUUUUACCUAAAUUUUUGAGAUGAGAGAAAAUGAACAUAUCUCCCUCUCUUAUAAUGAACAUAAACUCAUUAUAAGUAAUGAACAUAUCUCCUUUACUUAUAAUGAGUUUAUGUAAAUAAAAAUAAGAGUUUGAUUAGAGAAAAAAAAUCCACUCUAAUCACUUUUUUACCUAAAUUUUUGAGAUGAGAGAAAAUGAACAUAUCUCC
rnacentral:lncRNA from 1 species